UUGGCUCUCUCUUUUACUGAGAAUUCAUCUAGUCAUUUCCUGUGCAAGCGCUUCUUUGCUUUGCAAAAUGCUGUACAGUUGAGUAGAUAGCAUUAAUCCCUGGUUAUUCCUUCUCACAAGUCGCCUGGAUUCUCUCAUGGACCACCACCAACUAGGAAUUCAAGUCUGUGCCGUUAAUAGAGUGUUAAUAUGAGCGAGGUCUUCUCUGCAGAAGAGGAGGACUGUCACCCAUGGAUGUAAAUAAUUCGGGUUCUGCUUUCAUGCUUAUUAACACUUGUUGGUCUGUGACUUGGCUUCUACUGAGAGAUUCUUUGCCCUCGGAAGGAUCCAUUGGGACUCCUUGUCAGAUCAGUUCUUGGGUGGAGCUUGCAGGAACUUGGGGACAAUUUUGCUUUUAAACCAGACAGACUAUCUGUAUAAGACUGACAAUAAAUAACUCUCUUGAGCGCUGUGUGGAGAUGGAAACUGCAGCUGAGAAAUGAUUUUGGGAAAAGGAAGACAGAAAAGCACAAGCAAACUAUCGUAGAAGUGCAAAUAGCCCACUAAAGAACCGGCAAACAUACCAGUCUGGUGUCCUAGCAGGAAACCUCUCUGGUGAUCUGCAAAACCAUCUUUACUAGAAAUGGAUAACUUCACAAAUGGGCAGCCAGGCCCAGGUCAGAGGAACAGGUUGAUGGGAUUGCUAGAAACAGAUGACAGUGUCCAGGAAGAUAAACCUGUGCCUAGCGAAAAGGAAGAAAGAUCAGGACAUGGAAAGAAGGGAGAGGCACGACCCUUGGAGACACCUUAUCAGAAGGAGAGCAGUGACUUUCCUCCUAAAGUCAAGAUUAAUCUGAACUAUCGGCCAGGACUCGUCAGCAACCAAAAGGACCCAAAUCGCUUUGACAGAGACAGGCUCUUCAGCGCAGUCUCAAGGGGCAGCCCCGAGGCACUCGAUGGUUUGCUUGAGUACUUAAGGAGGACCUCCAAAUUUCUCACCAAUUCCGAAUACACAGAUGCAAGGACUGGGAAGACCUGCUUAAUGAAAGCCCUGCUGAACUUAAAAAAUGGAAAGAAUGACACAAUCCCACUUUUGCUGGAAAUAGACCAAAAGACACAGAAUCCCAGGCCACUUGUCAAUGUGGCAUGCUCUGACUGUUACUACAGAGGCCAGACAGCGCUCCACAUUGCCAUAGAGAAAAGGAACCUAGAUUUAGUGAAACUCUUAGUAGAGAAUGGAGCUGAUGUCCAUGCCAGAGCCCAUGGUGAAUUCUUCAGGAAGAAGAAAGAAGGAGUUUACUUUUAUUUUGGUGAACUUCCCCUCUCCUUGGCUGCUUGUACCAACCAGUUUGAGGUGGUGGAAUAUCUCCUAAACAAUCCCCACCAGAAAGCCAGGCUCCAGGAGCAGGAUACACAGGGCAACACAGUCCUCCAUGCCCUGGUGAUGAUUGCAGAUGACACUGAGGAGAACACCAAGUUUGUGAGCACAACAUACGUUGAGAUCUUGAAGGCAGGAGUGAAGGUUGACCCAACAUGGAAACUGGAGGAGAUAGUGAAUUACGAUGGAUUAAAUCCUCUGCAGCUUGCUGCCAAGACGGGCAAAGUGGAGAUCUUCAAGCACAUCAUCCAAAGAGAAAUUAAAGAUCCGAUGUACAGGCACCUCUCCCGCAAGUUCACUGAAUGGACUUACGGACCUAUCCACGUGUCUCUCUAUGACUUAUCCUCAAUUGACAGCUUCGAGGAAAACUCUGUGCUGGAGAUCCUGGCCUACAGCAGUGACACACCGAAUCGGUACAAGAUGGUGGUUUUGGAGCCACUGAACAAACUGCUUCAGCAAAAAUGGGAAACAUUUGCUUCCAAGCGAUUCUACUUCAGUUUUGUCUCAUACUUGUCAUUCAUGAUCAUCUUUACCGCAAUUGCAUACUAUCAGCCCUCACGGGUAAAGCCUUCAUUUCCAGUGGAGUUCACAACUGGAGGCUUCCUGUGGGUCUCCGGACUGAUCAUUAUCUUGCUAGGAGGCAUUUAUCUCAUCUUUGCUCAGAGCCUGUACUUGCGGAGGAGACGUCAGUCGCUGAAGACUAUGUGUUCUGACAGCUGCAUUGAGAUCUUGAUCUUCAUCCAGGCUUUCUCAUUGCUGCUCUCAGCGGUUCUGUAUGGUGCAAGCUCAGAAAACUAUGUGGCGGUGAUGGUGUUCUCCCUCCUCCUGGGAUGGGUGAACAUGCUGUAUUACACCCGGGGCUUCCAGCGCACUGGGAUCUACAGUGUCAUGAUACAAAAGACCAUCCUGAGAGAUCUGCUGCGCUUCCUGUUGGUUUAUAUGAUCUUUCUCUUUGGCUUUGCUGCAGCUCUGGUUACGCUGAUGGGGGAUGCUCCUCUGGUCCCUCAGAACAAGUCUCUUGCUCAGUUGGAGAGCGCUGGGAACCAUGCUAUGUACGGUGGGCUGCUCAGCGUCUCCCUGGAGCUCUUCAAGAUCACCAUUGGGAUGGGCGACCUGGACUUCCAUGAACAUGCCAGAUUCAGAUACUUUGUCAUGCUCCUGCUGCUUCUUUUUGUGAUCCUCACGUAUAUUCUUUUGCUCAACAUGCUGAUUGCGCUCAUGAGCGAGACUGUCACAGAUAUUUCUGGUUAUAGCAAAAGUGUCUGGAAGCUGCAGAGGGCUAUUGCUAUUCUAGAAAUAGAGAAGGCCUGGCUGUGGCGCCAAGGUGGGAAGAGGAGAUCCGGCUGCUUCAUGUCAGUGGGCCUCAAUAAGAAAGAUGAGAGGUGGUGUUUCAGAGUAGAGGAAAUUAAAUGGACAAAUUGGGCAAAGGAUGUGGGAGUUCUUAAGGAAGACCCUGGAAACACCAGUGAUUCAGGAACAAAUCCAGAAGAGACGAGAUCAUUGAAACGGAUGCCACAGAAACAUUUGAGAUCAGCUGUUUCAGAGGAGCAGUCACUCUUGCAGCCCCAGCUAUCAACAACUGAGAUGAUGCCUCUAGAGGGACAAACAAGAAAUCUUUAGCAGGUUUUCUGGCUUGCAACCUUGCUCCCAUCUUCAAAGGAGUGGUUCUCCCUAUGGCUGCUGGAAGGACUGAAGGCAUUAUCAGGAUUAAAGUGCAUUUUAUUGAAGACUGUGUUUCAGCCUGUGGCUUUAAGUACUUCCAUGCACUUUAAUCAUUAAUUUCCCCUGAAGAAACUAUUUUUACUCAACUUUCUCUGCCUGACGCUUUCUUAUUACCGUGUCUAAAGGUGUAAAAGCGAGUUCACUGGGGCAGAGGGGAGUGGUUUGGGAAGGCAGUGCUUUCUGAGCUGUAUAGAAACAAUGCUCUUCGCCAUAGAGAAGCAAAGGAUGGAGCGACCUAUCUAACAACGGGUCGACCAGUAUUCUUUUACCACAAGAGACUUCACUGAAGUGCUUUGGAAUAAAGAGUGUUGUAGAGUCAUAAAAAGUCACUAAGGAUGGAGUUGGCUUCUGUGCAAAAAUUCUUGGUGUGAGGCAAGAGCGGACAACUAAUCUUCAGUCAUCAAGAGCCAUGCUGCCUUUGUGUCAGCCCCUGCAGUGCUGAGUGCUGAACCCACAUCAGAAUUCCCAUUUUGCAGUAUUAUAACGAAAUCAUUUGUGCGAUAUGCACAAUGAACACUUUUGCUUAACAGUAUGGAAGUGGCAUGGAUUAACUGGACCUGUAACUUCACACAGUGAAUUUCUGAACCAUCCGUCUUUCACAGGUUGCUCUGACUGUAGAGAACAGCAGCAGAAUCCUGCAUGUGGCUUCUGAGAGGCAGAUGGGUUAAAAUGCAUCAUGUGCUUCACGUUUCCUGCCAGUCUUAGUGGGCAUCCUGUGUUCCUGUAAAUGAUUACAAGGACCUUAUUGCUUUUUGCAGUGUGCACGCUGCCUCGGGCAGGGUGGGAAGCGUACUGUGGAAAAGAGAUAAAAAUGAGCUGUCUUACUUUAAGCCUGUAUUUAAAAACAAUAACAUGUAGUAUUCCUUUAAACUUGCUAUACUGACAGUUUACUUAAUUGAAAAUGUUCAUCCUUGGGAUACAUUUUCAGAACUUCAACCUCUCUCAAAAUGUAAGAGAAGAUGUGACCAGCAUGGAUACAAGGCCUUAUGAAAUUCCUGAGUGUGUUUCACCCAGUGCUGUGCUGACCUCGCUGCAAUGCACGUUGACUCUUGUUUUGCCUGACUUCAUAUCAGUUUGUGCAGCCACAUCUGAAAGUGUAACAGCUGGUGUUGCACUGCAUGUGUUUUUCAUGAAGGGAAUGGCUGGUGAUGCCCCUGAAAAAGCUGCAGGCUUCAACUGUUGGCAGUAUCUUUCCUUCAGUAAGAUAAACUAUGCAACUCCAAAAUCUGCCUCCAAUUUCUACUCUGAGCAAGGGAAGUUAGGAGAUUUGUCUUUUGGAGAGAAUCAUCUUAAUCCUGUUGCCUACUACAUGCAUGUGACUGGCAGCAAAAACAUUGCUUUGAAAACUCAUUCCAUGUCACUUCUAACGGGUUUUUCCUCUAUCGCGGGCAAUUCCCUCUGCAGCUUCACUGCACUGGGUAUCUGAAUUGUAACUAACUUUUCCCACUCCAGCAUCUGCUGCUUUUUUGCCUUGUGAAGCCUUCAGCUGCUUUUUCCAUCUAUGGCUUUGUCCUAAGUGUUCCCAAGAUUUGGCAAGGGGCUGGUAUUGCACAAAAAGAUCAUCUGGCACAUGGUACUCUGCUGCUGUGCACGGUGCUUUGCAGUGGGAGGGAUGCUUUGAGAUUCUCACGAAAUGCAGAAUCUGCUCUGCCAGCCCUGUCUGGAGUCUUAAUAAACAACAAAAGAGAGAUCUUGCUGACUGGUUGCGAUUGUGGUAGCUGUGGGCUGUGACAAUUUGCUUUCACGAUAACCUGCCUCUUCAGCCAUUCCUUGAACCUGCUUCUCUUUAAAUCCCUUUCUUAAGCUUGCAGUGUGAGUUUACCUUUCGAUCUGCAUAAAAAUAUUCCUAAACAUCUGGUACCUGGUGUGGAAUGGGACUUAGACCUUCCUUGGGUGUCACAGACCACCAGUCCCAGCCCUCUCAAGCUGAUGGACAGCAGAAAAACAGAGGUGUCAGACUGGUCAGAAGAUUUAGCAGUGCCCAGGCUGCUGUACAGAUCUUUGCACUAUGGAAAAAAAGGAGAUUUUUGAGGAGUUACUGUCUCCCUGCAGUGUGGUCCCUCCUGUAGAGCUGAGUUAGCUCUAUUGAGGCUAAUCUCAAUAUCAGUAACCUCCUGGUUUUCUGCAUCCUUAAUGCAAGAGGCUCCUCUUUGGUUUCACCAUCGGAGCCACCUCCUAGUUUGGGCACAUUGCAAAGAGGAAGGCUGGCUGGGGGUUAUUUUGUGGGAUGUCUACAGUUCCUUGCAAGAGGAAGGACAUGCGGCUAGCUCAGAGAUUUGAGGGACCAGCAGGACUGUGGGAUCCAUUUUUAAUAGAUCAGAAUGUUUUUCCAGGAAACACUUCAGUCAUUUACACAAAAAGUUAUCAGCAGAAGAACCGCACUCUGCCUUCUGCCUCUUGUGACGGGUGAACCCGCAUGCGUGUGAAUCCACCCCUACGCAAACAGGGAGCCUUUGCAGUGCUCUCCUCUGAGAAAAGAGAAGUCUUUCACAAAUAUUAGAAACCACAGCUAUUCCUCUGCUCUCCUAUUUUUUUUCUCUGUACGAGCCACGCAGACUCCGAGGUCCCAGCCAGGACAUGGAGAACAGAUGCCAGCAGCUCUUAUUACUUUCCAUGCAGGGUUAUGGAUGCUCAAACCCUCCUGUCAACUUCGGUCAAAGUUUCUCGGUUCCUGACAGGGCUGGGAGAUAAAUGCAGACCUUGUUGCUUGCAGACUCCUCCUCUGCUUGAGCACACUUGGCCUGGUCCUUGCUCUCUGGGGCCCCUGUACCACCUCCAAAUGCCCCACUGCACAGGGAUCUGUUUUGCUGCUUAGCUGUGUAGUUUUCUUAAAAGAAAACUGAACGUCUGAUUUGUGUGGUUCCUAAUUCCCCAUAAGGCCCUUUUCCUCAGGGGUAUAAGUAGAAUCAAGACUUUCUUGUUCCUCAAAUGCUUUGUACGUUUUAUUUUAUUGUUGUUUUUUUUCCAAUAUGUGCUUUGAAGCUGAAGCCAGUUGCAGGAGGUCAUUCUGUGUCUCAGUUGAUUCCCUCUCCGUCUUUCCGUGACCCCACGGAGCAUAGUUGCCGUUCCCUCUGGAGAUAGCAAAGGGAGGCUUUGAAAUAUGACAAGCAAAAGGGCUCAGACAAAGACCAGAUGCUUUCUGUAAGUCUCCGUAAGCUGCACAGAGCUGUUUCUGAAGCGAUGCAGCUGGCGGAUUGCUCAGCCGGGCUGUUCUUGUGGGUAACGGUUGGGUUCUUUGCUGCACUUCAGAAAUUUCAUUUGUUGCUCUGGGACUAAAAAAAAAAAAAUAAAUAAAAUAAAAGUGUAGGAGGGGAAGGACAUUUUAAAAGAAAAUGGUUCCGCUUUGCAACCUCACAUCUACUUCAGCAGCAUGAAUAUAAUCAGGGCCAGACAGGACCAGGCAAAGCCUCAGUCUGCGGCUGCCUCGUGGCUGGCGCCUCUCUGUUGUUGAAAUCCGAGAGCACAGACUGUUUGCUUCGCUUCCUCCUCUGAUGUAGUCUUUUUCGUUUUGGACUCAUGAGAUGGGGAGUUUUACAGCGUUUCUGGCCUGUGAGGAUGGUUGUUAAACCCAGGGAAUCCUUGGCGGAAGAGGGCAAGAGGCAGUUAGAAAGCAGCUGUGAUUGGUUGUGCUCAUUUCUGAGAAUGCUGGGAAAAUUUACACUUUCUGGGCAAAGAGGACCACGUCUCUGGAAUGGCUUUCUCCUCUUUCCCCUCCCAAAGGGUUUCCUAUGCAGUUAACUCUUCUGAUUGCUCAGCGUUUGGUGUAUCAGCUCAUUUAGCAUUGUAAUAACAACACACUGCAUCCAAAUGAGAACGGAUUACUCAGAACUCUGAUAGUACAAACUAUAAGGGAGUAAUUCUGGUCCAGACUAGGGUCACGGUAUAGCGAGAUAAGGGAUCAGCAGAAGCCAAAGAAUUGCUGGUUGAUGGGAGAAGAGACGUGCAGAGUGCCUUAACAUACCUUGGGUGUCCUGCCGUAAAAUGUCAAUGUUUCUGACACCAAUAAAAUACAAAAUAAAAGGGGAAUGCCGAGUGUUCUGUGUGCAUGUGUGAGGGGUGGGGGGAAGGCUCUUGCAUUAAAAAAUGACCAUCAGAGAACUGACCUCUCUCUUAAAUCGUGCUGUGAAUGCCCUCGAGUCAAUCUGCACAUUUCAAUGUCAUUGUGGCGUGUCCACGGAGCAUGCACCAAAGGACAAGGUGGACGGGACGAACCUAGACCCUGGUGGCUUUUCCAGACAGCUCCUCUUGUUCCAGCUCAGGUUUGCUGCAAAGAUGUUGGUCGGAAGAUGUUGGUGUUUUAGGAUGGCAGCUUAAAACAAACCCUGCAGAGAGAACAGGUUGGAUCUUAUUUUGGAUCUGAGCUCUGCCCGCUAGAUGUGAACCACGAUGGGGUGACAGAUCUUCUCCUUGUUGGAGCUCUAUUUUAUCACGUUCAAGGGGAAGAAGGAAGGGUUUACGUCUAUCGCCUGGAG